rnacentral:rRNA from 1 species
UACAGAGGUCUCAAGCGUUGUUCGGAUUCAUUGGGCGUAAAGCGCACGUAGGCGGCUUGUUAAGUCAGGGGUGAAAUCCUGGAGCUCAACUCCAGAACUGCCUUUGAUACUGGCGAGCUUGAGUUCGGGAGAGGUGAGUGGAACUGCGAGUGUAGAGGUGAAAUUCGUAGAUAUUCGCAAGAACACCAGUGGCGAAGGCGGCUCACUGGCCCGGUACUGACGCUGAGGUGCGAAAGCGUGGGGAGCAAACAGG